rnacentral:rRNA from 1 species
AUUGAACGCUGGCGGCAGGCCUAACACAUGCAAGUCGAGCGGAUGAAGGGAGCUUGCUCCUGGAUUCAGCGGCGGACGGGUGAGUAAUGCCUAGGAAUCUGCCUGGUAGUGGGGGAUAACGUCCGGAAACGGGCGCUAAUACCGCAUACGUCCUGAGGGAGAAAGUGGGGGAUCUUCGGACCUCACGCUAUCAGAUGAGCCUAGGUCGGAUUAGCUAGUUGGUGGGGUAAAGGCCUACCAAGGCGACGAUCCGUAACUGGUCUGAGAGGAUGAUCAGUCACACUGGAACUGAGAAACGGUCCAGCCUCCUACGGGAGGCAGCAGUGGGGAAUAUUGGACAAUGGGCGAAAGCCUGAUCCAGCCAUGCCGCGUGUGUGAAGAAGGUCUUCGGAUUGUAAAGCACUUUAAGUUGGGAGGAAGGGCAGUAAGUUAAUACCUUGCUGUUUUGACGUUACCAACAGAAUAAGCACCGGCUAACUUCGU